UUCCCCCAGUAGCGGCGAGCGAACGGGGAGCAGCCCAGAGUCUGAAUCAGCUUGUGUGUUAGUGGAACGGUCUGGAAAGUCCGACGGUACAGGGUGAUAGUCCCGUACACCAAAAUGCACAGGCUGUGAACUCGAAGAGUAGGGCGGGACACGUGGUAUCCUGUCUGAAUAUGGGGGGACCAUCCUCCAAGGCUAAAUACUCCUGACUGACCGAUAGUGAACCAGUACCGUGAGGGAAAGGCGAAAAGAACCCCGGCGAGGGGAGUGAAAAAGAACCUGAAACCGUGUACGUACAAGCAGUGGGAGCACCUUCGGGUGUGACUGCGUACCUUUUGUAUAAUGGGUCAGCGACUUAUAUUCUGUAGCAAGGUUAACCGUAUAGGGGAGCCGCAGGGAAACCGAGUCUUAACUGGGCGUUAAGUUGCAGGGUAUAGACCCGAAACCCGGUGAUCUAGCCAUGGGCAGGUUGAAGGUUGGGUAACACUAACUGGAGGACCGAACCGACUAAUGUUGAAAAAUUAGCGGAUGACUUGUGGCUGGGGGUGAAAGGCCAAUCAAACCGGGAGAUAGCUGGUUCUCCCCGAAAGCU
rnacentral:rRNA from 1 species